UACAGAGGGUGCGAGCGUUAAUCGGAAUUACUGGGCGUAAAGCGCGCGUAGACGGUUUUGUAAGUCAGAUGUGAAAUCCCUGGGCUCAACCUGGGAACUGCAUUUGAAACUGCAUGGCUAGAGUAUCGAAGAGGGAAGUGGAAUUUCCGGUGUAGCGGUGAAAUGCGUAGAUAUCGGAAGGAACGCCGGUGGCGAAAGCGACGUGCUGGAUCUCUUCUGACGCUGAGGCGCGAAAGCUAGGGGAGCGAACGGG
rnacentral:rRNA from 1 species